rnacentral:rRNA from 1 species
AGGGGGCUAGCGUUGUUCGGAAUUACUGGGCGUAAAGCGCACGUAGGCGGGUCGUUAAGUCAGGGGUGAAAUCCCGGAGCUCAACUCCGGAACUGCCUUUGAUACUGGCGGCCUCGAGGCCGGAAGAGGUUAGUGGAAUUCCCAGUGUAGAGGUGAAAUUCGUAGAUAUUGGGAAGAACACCAGUGGCGAAGGCGGCUAACUGGUCCGGAUCUGACGCUGAGGUGCGAAAGCGUGGGGAGCAAACAGG